GACAGAGGGCGCGGGUGAUAUUCGUUUUGAUUGGGUGUAAAGGGUAUGUAGGCGGUACUUUGUUGUUCGAUAAAAAGCGCGGAGUGUUCCUACGCGUCUAUCUUUGAAAAUAAGCACUUGAGUUGAAGAAGGGUUGGGGCAAAUUCUUAAGUAGGGGUAAAAUCCCACCAUAUGAGAACGAACGCCGACUGGCGAAGGCGCCUUUCUAGUUUCAACUGACGCUAAGGUACGGAGGCUUAGGGAGCAAACGGG
rnacentral:rRNA from 1 species